CGCGUAGGCGGCGAGGCAAGUUGGAUGUGAAAGCCCUGGGCUCAACCUAGGAUGUGCAUACAAAACUGCCUCGCUUGAAUCUCGGAGGGGGUCAGGGAAUUCCCGGUGUAGAGGUGAAAUUCGUAGAUAUCGGGAGGAACACCAGUGGCGAAGGCGCUGACCUGGACGAAGAUUGACGCUGAGGCGCGAAAGCGUGGGGAGCAAACA
rnacentral:rRNA from 1 species